GAAGCGUCUGGAAAGGCGCGCGAUACAGGGUGACAGCCCCGUACACAAAAGCGCAUGUGCUGUGAGCUCGAUGAGUAGGGCGGGACACGUGGUAUCCUGUCUGAAUAUGGGGGGACCAUCCUCCAAGGCUAAAUACUCCUGACUGACCGAUAGUGAACCAGUACCGUGAGGGAAAGGCGAAAAGAACCCCGGCGAGGGGAGUGAAAAAGAACCUGAAACCGUGUACGUACAAGCAGUGGGAGCACCCUUUGGGGUGUGACUGCGUACCUUUUGUAUAAUGGGUCAGCGACUUAUAUUCUGUAGCAAGGUUAACCGAAUAGGGGAGCCGGAGGGAAACCGAGUCUUAAUUGGGCGUUAAGUUGCAGGGUAUAGACCCGAAACCCGGUGAUCUAGCCAUGGGCAGGUUGAAGGUUGGGUAACACUAACUGGAGGACCGAACCGACUAAUGUUGAAAAAUUAGCGGAUGACCUGUGGCUGGGGGUGAAAGGCCAAUCAAACCGGGAGAUAGCUGGUUCUCCCCGAAAGCUAUUUAGGUAGCGCCUCGUGAAUUCAUCUCCGGGGGUAGAGCACUGUUUCGGCUAGGGGGCCAUCCCGGCUUACCAACCCGAUGCAAACUGCGAAUACCGGAGAAUGUUAUCACGGGAGACACACGGCGGGUGCUAACGUCCGUCGUGAAGAGGGAAACAACCCAGACCGCCAGCUAAGGUCCCAAAGUCAUGGUUAAGUGGGAAACGAUGUGGGAAGGCCCAGACAGCCAGGAUGUUGGCUUAGAAGCAGCCAUCAUUUAAAGAAAGCGUAAUAGCUCACUGGUCGAGUCGGCCUGCGCGGAAGAUGUAACGGGGCUAAACCAUGCACCGAAGCUGCGGCAGCGACACUCAGGUGUUGUUGGGUAGGGGAGCGUUCUGUAAGCCUGCGAAGGUGGCCUGUGAGGGUUGCUGGAGGUAUCAGAAGUGCGAAUGCUGACAUAAGUAACGAUAAAGCGGGUGAAAAGCCCGCUCGCCGGAAGACCAAGGGUUCCUGUCCAACGUUAAUCGGGGCAGGGUGAGUCGACCCCUAAGGCGAGGCCGAAAGGCGUAGUCGAUGGGAAACGGGUUAAUAUUCCCGUACUUGGUGUUACUGCGAAGGGGGGACGGAGAAGGCUAUGUUGGCCGGGCGACGGUUGUCCCGGUUUAAGCGUGUAGGUGUGUGUUCCAGGUAAAUCCGGUUCACUUUAACACUGAGGCGUGACGACGAGGCACUACGGUGCUGAAGCAACAAAUGCCCUGCUUCCAGGAAAAGCCUCUAAGCAUCAGGUAACAUCAAAUCGUACCCCAAACCGACACAGGUGGUCAGGUAGAGAAUACCAAGGCGCUUGAGAGAACUCGGGUGAAGGAACUAGGCAAAAUGGUGCCGUAACUUCGGGAGAAGGCACGCUGACACGUAGGUGAAGUGAUUUACUCACGGAGCUGAAGUCAGUCGAAGAUACCAGCUGGCUGCAACUGUUUAUUAAAAACACAGCACUGUGCAAACACGAAAGUGGACGUAUACGGUGUGACGCCUGCCCGGUGCCGGAAGGUUAAUUGAUGGGGUCAGCGCAAGCGAAGCUCCUGAUCGAAGCCCCGGUAAACGGCGGCCGUAACUAUAACGGUCCUAAGGUAGCGAAAUUCCUUGUCGGGUAAGUUCCGACCUGCACGAAUGGCGUAAUGAUGGCCAGGCUGUCUCCACCCGAGACUCAGUGAAAUUGAACUCGCUGUGAAGAUGCAGUGUACCCGCGGCAAGACGGAAAGACCCCGUGAACCUUUACUAUAGCUUGACACUGAACAUUGAGCCUUGAUGUGUAGGAUAGGUGGGAGGCUUUGAAGUGUGGACGCCAGUCUGCAUGGAGCCGACCUUGAAAUACCACCCUUUAAUGUUUGAUGUUCUAACGUGGACCCGUGAUCCGGGUUGCGGACAGUGUCUGGUGGGUAGUUUGACUGGGGCGGUCUCCUCCUAAAGAGUAACGGAGGAGCACGAAGGUUGGCUAAUCCUGGUCGGACAUCAGGAGGUUAGUGCAAUGGCAUAAGCCAGCUUGACUGCGAGCGUGACGGCGCGAGCAGGUGCGAAAGCAGGUCAUAGUGAUCCGGUGGUUCUGAAUGGAAGGGCCAUCGCUCAACGGAUAAAAGGUACUCCGGGGAUAACAGGCUGAUACCGCCCAAGAGUUCAUAUCGACGGCGGUGUUUGGCACCUCGAUGUCGGCUCAUCACAUCCUGGGGCUGAAGUAGGUCCCAAGGGUAUGGCUGUUCGCCAUUUAAAGUGGUACGCGAGCUGGGUUUAGAACGUCGUGAGACAGUUCGGUCCCUAUCUGCCGUGGGCGCUGGAGAACUGAGGGGGGCUGCUCCUAGUACGAGAGGACCGGAGUGGACGCAUCACUGGUGUUCGGGUUGUCAUGCCAAUGGCACUGCCCGGUAGCUAAAUGCGGAAGAGAUAAGUGCUGAAAGCAUCUAAGCACGAAACUUGCCCCGA
rnacentral:rRNA from 1 species